UCUGCCUUGCUCUACUCCAUCGUCUAUUCACCUGCAUACCUCUUUAUUUUCCCCUUUACUUCUCGAUUUCUCUCUGUGAAUUCUCCUGUUGGCAUAUGCAGGCAGUUUAUCCAUCUUUGUUUUAUUUGAAUUCGGUAGUAUUGCCGAUUGACGACAUCUUUGAUAUGCUUCACUUGGCUAGACUAUCAACUUUGGUGUCAUUCUUUUGCAUAGCCUCUAAAAAAUCCGAAAUUGAAUUGAGAACCAAGCUAAUGGCUUCUUUGUCGAGGACACAACGAAGAUGUUAAAUUGUAGUGGUAGAAAGAUUUAUGUGAAGGGUUUUAGCUUUGAUGAUUAAGAACUCCCAUUUGAGAUGAGAAAGUAUCACCAGCUAUGGUGAAUUAUAGUAACUAAACGUGCCUUGCAUCAUAUCAUGUCAAUA